rnacentral:tRNA from 1 species
GAAGUAUGAUGCUCAAGGAAAAGCUGCUAACUUUAUCCUUUUAAUGGUUAAACUCCAUUUAUACUUCU